UAGGGAAUAUUGGGCAAUGGAGGCAACUCUGACCCAGCCAUACCGCGUGCAGGACGAAGGCCCUCUGGGUUGUAAACUGCUUUUAUCAGGGAAGAAACGCUUGGAUUCAUCUGAGCCUGACGGUACCUGAGGAAUAAGCACCGGCUAACUCCGUGCCAGCAGCCGCGGUAAUACGGAGGGUGCGAGCGUUAUCCGGAUUUACUGGGUUUAAAGGGUGCGUAGGCGGACUGUUAAGUCAGUGGUGAAAGAUUCGGGCUCAACCCGAAAAUUGCCAUUGAUACUGGCAGUCUUGAGUACAGUUGAGGUAGGCGGAAUGUGUCAUGUAGCGGUGAAAUGCAUAGAUAUGACACAGAACACCGAUUGCGAAGGCAGCUUGCUAAACUGUAACUGACGCUGAGGCACGAAAGCGUGGGGAUCAAACAGGAUUAGAUACCCCCGUAGUCC
rnacentral:rRNA from 1 species